CCUACGGGAGGCAGCAGUAGGGAAUAUUGCUCAAUGGGGGAAACCCUGAAGCAGCAACGCCGCGUGGAGGAUGAAGGUUUUCGGAUUGUAAACUCCUUUUGUUAGAGAAGAUAAUGACGGUAUCUAACGAAUAAGCACCGGCUAACUCCGUGCCAGCAGCCGCGGUAAUACGGAGGGUGCAAGCGUUACUCGGAAUCACUGGGCGUAAAGAGCGCGUAGGCGGGUUAGCAAGUCAGUUGUGAAAUCCUAAGGCGUAACCAUAGAACUGCAUUUGAAACGGUUAUUCUAGAGUAUGGGAGAGGUAGGUGGAAUUCUUGGUGUAGGGGUAAAAUCCGUAGAGAUUAAGAGGAAUACCAAUUGCGAAGGCGAGCUGCUAGAACAUAACUGACGCUGAGGCGCGAAAGCGUGGGGAGCAAACAGGAUUAGAUACCCUUGUAGUC
rnacentral:rRNA from 1 species